rnacentral:rRNA from 1 species
GAUGAACGCUGGCGGCGCGCCUAAUACAUGCAAGUCGAGCGAACAGACGAGGAGCUUGCUCCUCUGACGUUAGCGGCGGACGGGUGAGUAACACGUGGAUAACCUACCUAUAAGACUGGGAUAACUUCGGGAAACCGGAGCUAAUACCGGAUAAUAUAUUGAACCGCAUGGUUCAAUGGUGAAAGACGGUUUUGCUGUCACUUAUAGAUGGAUCCGCGCCGCAUUAGCUAGUUGGUAAGGUAACGGCUUACCAAGGCGACGAUGCGUAGCCGACCUGAGAGGGUGAUCGGCCACACUGGAACUGAGACACGGUCCAGACUCCUACGGGAGGCAGCAGUAGGGAAUCUUCCGCAAUGGGCGAAAGCCUGACGGAGCAACGCCGCGUGAGUGAUGAAGGUCUUCGGAUCGUAAAACUCUGUUAUUAGGGAAGAACAAAUGUGUAAGUAACUAUGCACGUCUUGACGGUACCUAAUCAGAAAGCCACGGCUAACUACGUG